GGCCCCGUAGUUCAACGGAUAGAAUAGUGGUUUCCUAAACCAUAGAUAUAGGUUCGAUUCCUAUCGGGGCUA
rnacentral:tRNA from 1 species